GCCAGGGUAGCUCAGUUGGUUAGAGCAACGGAAUCAUAAUCCGUGGGUCGUCGGUUCGAGUCCGACCCUUGGUACCA
rnacentral:tRNA from 2 species